GACGAACGCUGGCGGCGUGCUUAACACAUGCAAGUCGAACGGUAAGGCCCUGCUUUUGUGCGGUGCUCGAGUGCCGAACGGGUGAGUAACACGUGAGUAACCUGCCCUUGACUUUGGGAUAACUUCAGGAAACUGGGGCUAAUACCGGGUAGAAUAUCCUGCUGCAUGGGGGGGGUUGGAAAGAUUCGCCGGUUCGGGAUGGAAGCGCGGCUUAUCAGCUUGUUGGUGGGGUAGUGGAUUACCAAGGCGUGGACGGGUUGCCGGCCUGCGAGGGUGACCGGGCACAUUGGGACUGGGGUAGGGCCAAGAGUGAUACGGGAGGCAGCAGCGGGGAACAUUGCACAAAGGGCGGAAGCCGGAUGCAGCAACGCCGCGUGCGGGAUGACGGCCGGCGGGGUGUAAAGCGCGUUCGCGUGGGACGAAGAGUGAGUGACGGUAAUGGGUAAAGAAGCACCGGCUAACUACGUG
rnacentral:rRNA from 1 species